GUGCUUGCUUUGGCAGCACAUAUACUAAAACUGGAACAAUGCAGAGAAGAUUAGGAAUGAUCUCUGGGCAAGGAUGACAUGUAAAUUUGGGAAGCAUUCCAUAUUUUG
rnacentral:snRNA from 1 species